rnacentral:rRNA from 1 species
UACGUAGGUGGCAAGCGUUGUCCGGAAUUAUUGGGCGUAAAGAGCUCGUAGGCGGUUUGUCGCGUCUGCUGUGAAAACCCGAGGCUCAACCUCGGGCCUGCAGUGGGUACGGGCAGACUAGAGUGCGGUAGGGGAGAUUGGAAUUCCUGGUGUAGCGGUGGAAUGCGCAGAUAUCAGGAGGGACACCAAUGGCGAAGGCAGAUCUCUGGGCCGUAACUGACGCUGAGGAGCGAAAGCAUGGGGAGCGAACAGG